UGAGGAAUAUUGGUCAAUGGGCGCAAGCCUGAACCAGCCAUGCCGCGUGCAGGAAGAAGGUCCUAUGGAUUGUAAACUGCUUUUAUUUGGGAAUAAACCUCUGGUCGUGCACCGGAGCUGAAGGUACCAAAUGAAUAAGCACCGGCUAACUCCGUGCCAGCAGCCGCGGUAAUACGGAGGGUGCAAGCGUUAUCCGGAAUCAUUGGGUUUAAAGGGUCCGCAGGCGGACUUAUAAGUCAGUGGUGAAAGCCUACAGCUUAACUGUAGAACUGCCAUUGAUACUGUAAGUCUUGAAUUCGGUCGAAGUGGGCGGAAUGUGUAGUGUAGCGGUGAAAUGCUUAGAUAUUACACAGAACACCGAUAGCGAAGGCAGCUCACUAGGCCU
rnacentral:rRNA from 1 species